UGGGGAAUAUUGGACAAUGGGCGAAAGCCUGAUCCAGCAAUGCCGCGUGAGUGAUGAAGGCCCUAGGGUUGUAAAGCUCUUUUACCCGGGAUGAUAAUGACAGUACCGGGAGAAUAAGCUCCGGCUAACUCCGUGCC
rnacentral:rRNA from 1 species